rnacentral:lncRNA from 1 species
CUCUGUGCUGGGUUUUAUGUCGUCCAAUAACUCACAACUAUGUAAUUUAUUUCCUUUUUACAGAUAAAGAAAUGGGGGCUCAGAGCAGUCAAGAACAUGCCCCAAGUUAUUCGUCAGUGAGGCGGAAAUUGUGGUGUCCUUGUUUUCUGUGGGUCAGGAGAUCAGAAAUGGUUCUAUUUCAAGGUCUCUCACAGGGCUGCAAUCAAGAUGUUGGCAUGGCUGGGGUCUCAUCUGAAGGCUGGACUGGAGAAUCUACUUCCAAACUUAUGUGGUAGUUGGAAGAGUUUAGUUCCUCAAGGCUGCUAAACUGAUGGCCUGUGUUCCUUGCCUCUGGGAUGGUAGCUUGCUUCAACAAAGUGUGCAAGCAGAGAAGACAGAGAGAGUCCACUAGCAAGAUAGAAGCCACAAUCUCUUGUAAUCUAUCAUUUUUGCUGUAUUCUACUGGUUAAAAAUAACUCAUUAGGUUAGCCUACUGGCUCUGAAGGGGAAGAGAUUAUACAAAGGCAUGAAUUUCUGGAGGAGGGAAUGAGGGCAAAGAACUCUGAAAAGUCUCUCUUCCACAAUCUGAAGAACUUCUAGAAAGUAGAAGGAAGCGAUAUUGCUUAGGGAUGGACAACUUGGCACUGGUUAUGUGUUCCAAGUGAGGUAACCUUGUUCCCAGGAAUAAAGAGAACCAGAUGACUGUAAACAUUUCCCUAAACUGAAAUGCACUGUUGUAUGUUCACCUGCAAUGAAUGGUGUAAGCUGAAUAUAAGAUUUUUGACAAAAUAAAAAUUUUGCUGUGUU